rnacentral:piRNA from 1 species
UGCCAGGCAUGUAUAAUAUAGAUGACGUA